CACACGUACAGAACCCUAAAUCCAUCACUCUUUUCCUUCACGCUUCCUGAUUUCCCUUUCUUCUUCAUCUUCAAGGCUAUGAAGUUCAAUCGAUUCAAUGUGUUAUCAACCCGUUUUGUUAUAUUUGAUUGUUGGUGGAAGACGGUAGAGGUUCUCGGAAGUCACAACACCCCAUCCGGUGGCGGUGCUUCGAUAGAGGAAGUUGGUGGCGGUGGUGGUGGCCUGAAGAGGAACUAUGACGGCGACAUGGGUUCAUUUAGGGUUUUGUCCAACGGUGGUCUUGUGAUGGUUGUGGUUCAAGGCACAGGGCGGCGGCUAGGGUUUCACCAUCACAAAACCCUAGGAAAGUCUUCAGAUCUUUAAUCCCAAAAAUCAUCUCAUCCAGGUUUCUUUUGAGAUUCUUUGAUUGUUACGAUAUUGGUUUUCUUGAUUCAAAGUCAUAUGAUGUUUGAAAUCUUAUUACAGUAUGGUUUUUGAUUAAUUCGUUACUUUGAGGUGAAAUGGUUACUUGAUUUCUGAAUAUAUAUGUGUCCGGUUGAAAAUUGUGAUAUUGCUGUUAGGUAGGCUGCAAGUAUUACUUCAUUGCAUAAAAUUGGUCACCUCUUGAUCCAGAUGAACAAUCCAAGAUUUUGCCAAGUGAUAAAGACUUGGUGAGGCAAAACAUUUUUCUUUCUAUAGCGAGUUCCUCCAUUGUUGAGGUAAAAAUGACUCAUUGAUCGUUUGUAAAUGUUGUGUUGUCUUCCUCUAUUUGUAAUGUAUGC